rnacentral:tRNA from 1 species
AGGGAUAUAGUUAAAUUUAUAAUAUUUAUUUUGCAAAUAAAAGUUAUUUAAAAAUUAUUCUUA